rnacentral:tRNA from 1 species
GAGCAGCGGAUUCCAAAUCCGCGUGUUGGGAGUUCGAAUCUCUCCACCCCUG